rnacentral:rRNA from 1 species
AAUCAACGCUGGCGGCGUGCCUAACACAUGCAAGUCGAACGCGAAAAUUCCUUCGGGAAUGAGUAGAGUGGCGUCCGGGUGAGUAACGCGUGGGUAAUCUACCUUCGGGUGGGAAGUAACCCACGGGAAACGUUGGGCGUAAUACCGCAUAAUGCAGCGGCUCGACAUCGAGAUAGUUGUUAAAGCAGCAAUGCGCCUGAAGGAGAGCCUGCGUCUGAUUAGCUUGGGUUAGGGUAACGGCCUACCAAGGCUGCGAUCAGUAGCUGGUCUGAGAGGACGGCCAGCCACAAUGGCACUGAAACACGGGCCAUACUCCUACGGGAGGCAGCAGUGGGAAUUUUGUCGCAAUGGGCGGAAAGCCUGACGCAGCAACGCCGCGUGAAGGAU